rnacentral:rRNA from 1 species
AGGGUGGUCGGUCACCACUGGGACUGAGAUACGGCCCAGACUCCUACCGGGNGGCAGCAGUGGGGGGAUAUUGCACAAUGGACGCCAAGUCUGAUGCAGCGACGUCGUGUGGGGGAUGAAGGCCUUCGGGUUGUAAACUCCUUUCGCCUGCGGAAAAGGCAGGGUUUUGGCCUUGUUGAUGGUAGUGGGUAAAGAAGCGCCGGCUAACUACGUGCCAGCAGCCGCGGUAAUACGUAGGGCGCGAGCGUUGUCCGGAAUUAUUGGGCGUAAAGGGCUCGUAGGCGGUUUGUCGCGUCUAGCGUUUAAGGCUCGGGCUUAACCCGGGUUUGCGUUGGGUACGGGCAGGCUUGAGUGCGGUAGGGGUAACUGGAAUUCCUGGUGUAGCGGUGGAAUGCGCAGAUAUCAGGAGGAACACCGGUGGCGAAGGCGGGUUACUGGGCCGUUACUGACGCUGAGGAGCGAGAGCGUGGGGAGCGAGCAGGAUUAGAUACCCUGGUAGUCCAUGCUGUAAACGUUGGGCACUAGGUGUGGGGGCUGGUUUCAUGGUUUCCGCGCCGUAGCUAACGCAUUAAGUGCCCCGCCUGGGGAGUACGGCCGCAAGGCUAAAACUCAAAGGAAUUGACGGGGGCCCGCACAAGCGGCGGAGCAUGCGGAUUAAUUCGAUGCAACGCGAAGAACCUUACCAAGGCUUGACAUGCACCGCGAGACUGCAGAGAUGUGGUUGCCUUCGGGGUGGUGUGCAGGUGGUGCAUGGUUGUCGUCAGCUCGUGUCGUGAGAUGUUGGGUUAAGUCCCGCAACGAGCGCAACCCUUGUCUCAUGUUGCCAGCACGUUUGGGUGGGGACUCGUGAGAGACUGCCGGGGUUAACUCGGAGGAAGGUGGGGAUGACGUCAAAUCAUCAUGCCCCUUAUGUCUUGGGCUUCACGCAUGCUACAUUGGUGUCUACAGAGGGUUGCUAUUCCGUGAGGUUGAGCGAAUCUCUUAAAGGGCAUCUUGGUUCGGAUCGCAGUCUGCAACUCGACUGCGUGAAGGUGGAGUCGCUAGUAAUCGCAGAUCAGCAUUGCUGCGGUGAAUACGUUCUCGGGCCUUGUACACACCGCCCGUC